rnacentral:rRNA from 1 species
GAUGAACGCUGGCGGCGUGCCUAAUACAUGCAAGUCGAGCGAAUGGAUUAAGAGCUUGCUCUUAUGAAGUUAGCGGCGGACGGGUGAGUAACACGUGGGUAACCUGCCCAUAAGACUGGGAUAACUCCGGGAAACCGGGGCUAAUACCGGAUAACAUUUUGAACCGCAUGGUUCGAAAUUGAAAGGCGGCUUCGGCUGUCACUUAUGGAUGGACCCGCGUCGCAUUAGCUAGUUGGUGAGGUAACGGCUCACCAAGGCAACGAUGCGUAGCCGACCUGAGAGGGUGGUCGGCCACCCUGGGACUGAGACACGGACCAGACUCCUACGGGAGGCAGCAGUAGGGAAUCUUCCGCAAUGGACGAAAGUCUGACGGAGCAACGCCGCGUGAGUGAUGAAGGCUCUCGGGUCGUAAAACUCUGUUGUUAGGGAAGAACAAGUGCUAGUUGAAUGAGCUGGCACCUUGACGGUACCUAACCAGAAAGCCACGGCUAACUACGUGCCAGCCGCCGCGGUAA